UGACCUGCUAAAUAGCCCGGCCCGCUUUGGCGGGUCGCCGGCUUCUUAGAGGGACUAUCGGCUCAAGCCGAUGGAAGUUCGAGGCAAUAACAGGUCUGUUAUGCCCUUAGAUGUUCUGGGCCGCACGCGCGCUACACUGACAGAGCCAACGAGUUUACUACCUUGGCCGGAAGGUCUGGGUAAUCUUGUUAAACUCUGUCGUGCUGGGGAUAGAGCAUUGCAAUUAUUGCUCUUCAACGAGGAAUGCCUAGUAAGCGCAUGUCAUCAGCAUGCGUUGAUUACGUCCCUGCCCUUUGUACACACCGCCCGUCGCU
rnacentral:rRNA from 1 species